AACUCAGUAAUACAUAUGUGGCCAAAAUGGCUGGAGGAGUAGAAGAUGACCCUAAUCUAAAGGGCUUGAGUCGUAUUUUUAACAGUCAAACCAAUAGGGGCCGAGCAAACGUAACCAAGGCUACAUAUUCCUUAUUAGCCGUGUACUAUGUGUAUUAUAAAUUAUUCAAAUCAUCACCGAAGAAAAAAGAUAAGAAGUAACAUGAUCUCUAAAGAAAAUUAAAAAUCGCGAGUAAGAUGAAAAAUUUAAGAGUAUGUCAUAAAAUAAUAUAAAAAAACUAUCGGGGACACGGAAUUUUGGAUGCAUACAAAAUGAAUUAAAAACAUUAGACACAAAGCAGGGUGUCAUGCAAAGUUAAGGAACUGGCGACCAUAAUAAUAUAAUGCGAUACCCUGCUCUUAUCUGCUGAUUGAAGGAUUGAAGUUAGUCUAAGCCGUAGAUAGAGUAUAGAACCAUACUAUAGUCCGUUUACGGUCUAAACCUUUGGCUAUUUGACAACACUGUAUUGUUUGUACAAGUAUACGUUGUCAUUUGUCAGUGUUAUAGUAAGUUAUAACUUUAAUAGCUGUCAGUUGUCACUAAUUUAUUUCACAGUAGGCGACUACUGUGUGAAUUGAGGUUUAAGGUUGUUAUUACAUAAGAAUAAAGAUUUAACAG